ACUUCAAAGUCGACCAAAUUUAUUCUGUAUAACAGACAAUCAAAAGACGUUAAUACAAUUUAAUCAAAACGUACCAGCUAAUGAAGCAAUAUUUUCCAGCAAUUGUUGCUCGUUCAUUGUGAAUGCCGCCUAGAACUAAUAAAUAAAUAUAACGAACGGAUGUUUUUUUUUGUAAAAUAAACCAACAGCUUUAAUGUCUUUUAUUGAACUUGAAUCGUCCAAGUAUUUCCUGUUUUAAACCACCACUUGAUAUAUUAUGCAAAAGCUCUUGUUUGCUCAAUGUUUUAAAAUGAGUGGUUUUCCACUUUAAUGGUCUUUCGUUCUAUAAGUGAAUCUUUUAAAAAAAAGUCUUUGAGAACCUUUCCUUAAACAAAACUGUUUAAGUUAAAUGCCCAAAUAAUUGAACGACAACGAUUAACCAAGGUCUUUACUUUUUUUAACGACAGGCAAGAGCUUAUAUGUUUGACAAUGACCUUUUUGAAAACGUCGUUACAAAAACAAAAAAACUAUGAAAAAGUCCUUGAAAUAAAUUCUUACAGUAAUUAGAUGUGGUAAGGUAUUUCUAAGUCGACAGAUUAGAGUAGCGUAGUCGGUGGCACCAACAAUGUCGGAGUAGCAUCAAU